UGUGCGCUGAAAACUCUGCCUCCUGGUGUCCUUGAGUCAAGGGAUAGUUGCUGAGUGACAGUGUUUGUGGGAGGGUGUGUCUUACACUUCUGAGGGUGUGAGGAUGUUUCUAACCCAUGUACUACAGCAGCCAUCAACACAUACACAAUAUUGAUACCAAAAGCACCCUCUGCAUCUCCAUCUGAGUCUGCUUCCUGGGAAACACGAUCAGGACAGUGGAUGACAGAAAUGUUCCAAGAAAGCAAUAAGACAGGGUCUCAGAACUGUAUUACCAGCCACCCAACUAGCAUCACUGGUGGUAUGUGAAGCACCAAUAGCCUGUGGCAGAAGGUAACCUUCUAGAAGAGCACACAGCAUCUACCUUACUGAGUAACAGUUCUGUAUUUUUGGACUGAAGGAACUCAGGAGAACAGAGGGAGACUUGCAACCAUGUUUCAGCUCUGCGGUAAACCUGACACCCAUGUGGGCUUUGGUCAUUAAGUUGUGAAAGGUGAUUCAUAAUGAACCCUGCCGUUUGAGUGGCCUGGGCUCCAUGGUCAGUAGAACUUUGCUCUUCAGCAUCCUUAGGGAUUAGAAGGAAGGCACAGAAACCCAUGCCACACUGACACAGUGGAUGGAGGCUCUAUGGAGGUCACUCCCAAUCUUUCUACUUUGUAGGAAGAAUUGAAAUAAUUUUGAGAUCUCAACAAAUCCCUGCAUAAAUAUCAUCAUAUCUACUGCUAUG